CCUACGGGUGGCAGCAGUGAGGAAUAUUGGUCAAUGGACGAGAGCCUGAACCAGCCAAGUCGCGUGAGGGAAGACGGUCCUAUGGAUUGUAAACCUCUUUUGUCGGGGAGCAAAAGACGCCACGCGUGGCUUUCCGAGAGUACCCUAAGAAAAAGCAUCGGCUAACUCCGUGCCAGCAGCCGCGGUAAUACGGAGGAUGCGAGCGUUAUCCGGAUUUAUUGGGUUUAAAGGGUGCGCAGGCGGGAGAUCAAGUCAGCGGUAAAAUUGAGAGGCUCAACCUCUGAGUGCCGUUGAAACUGGUUGUCGUGAGUGAGGGAGAAGUAUGCGGAAUGCGUGGUGUAGCGGUGAAAUGCAUAGAUAUCACGCAGAACUCCGAUUGCGAAGGCAGCAUAC
rnacentral:rRNA from 1 species